CCUACGGGCGGCUGCAGUGGGGAAUUUUCGGCAAUGGGGGCAACCCUGACCGAGCAAUGCCGCGUGAAUGAUUAAGGCCUUCGGGUCGUAAAAUUCUGUUAUUAGGAAUGAACUUUAUGAGGAGGAAAUGCCUUAUAAUUGACAGUACCUGAUUAGAAAGCCCCGGCUAACUAUGUGCCAGCAGCCGCGGUAAUACAUAGGGGGCAAGCGUUAUCCGGAAUUAUUGGGCGUAAAGAGUGCGUAGGCGGUUUAUUAAGUUUGAUGUAAAAUACUAUAGCUUAACUAUAGAGGGUCAUUGAAAACUGGUAGACUUGAGUACGGUAGAGGUAAGUGGAAUUUCUAGUGGAGCGGUGGAAUGCGUAGAUAUUAGAAGGAACACCAAUGGCGAAGGCAGCUUACUGGGCCGGAACUGACGCUGAGGCACGAAAGCGUGGGGAGCAAACAGGAUUAGAUACCCCGGUAGUC
rnacentral:rRNA from 1 species